GACUUUUGUCGCAGAAAGCUCGACAUAGGGAUAGUGAUCCGGCGGCGGCGUUAGCUAACUUAUUAAAAGCUUUAUAUUUUAGAAGGUGGAAGACCUGGAUGCUUCAUACUUUGUAUAUGGAUGCCUCAUGUAACGAAGUUUCCGUCAGUCACAUGUCCAAUGUCCUUGACCUCAUUUUCAUGGUUCAGUGACUACUUGAAAAAAAAGUUAAGAUUUUUUGUAAUGUUAAAUUCUCUCUUAUUAUAAGUAAUAUGAUAACAAUAUUUGGUAUGUGCCUACCUUGCAAGGUCCUCAUGCCUGUCAGACAGUUUUCACUUGACAUCGACCUCAUUUCAUGGAUCAGUGAACAAGGUUAAGUUUUGGUGGUCAAGUCCAUAUCUCAGAUACUAUAAGCAAUAGGUCUAGUAUAUUCGGUGUAUGGAAGGACUGUAAGGUGUACAUGUCCAACUGGCAGGUGUCAUCUGACCUUGACCUCAUUUUCAUGGUUCAGUGGUUAUAGUUAAGUUUUUGUGUUUUGGUCCGUUUUUCUUAUACUUUAUGCAAUAGGUCUACUAUAUUUGGUGUAUGGAAUGAUUGUAAGGUGUACAUGUCCAACUGGCAGGUGUCAUCUGACUUUGACCUCAUUUUCAUGGUUCAGUAGUCAAAGUUAAGUUUUUGAGUUUUGGUCUUUUUUCUUAUACUAUAUGCAAUAAGUCAACUAUAUUUGGUGUAUGGAAAUAUUCUAUGAUGUAUAUGUCAGUCUCACAGGUUUUAUUUGACCUUGACCUCAUUUUCACGGUUCAUUGCUCAGUGUUAAGUUUAUGUGUUUCAGUCUGUUUUUCUUAAACUAUAAGCAAUAGGUCAGCUAUAUUUGUUGUAUGGAAGGAUUGUAAGCUGUUCAUGUCUGCCUGGCAUGGUUCAUCUGACCUUGACCUCAUUUUCACGAUUCAUUGGUCAAUGUUUAGUUUUCUUGGUUAAGUCUGUUUCUUAGAAACUAUAAGCAAUAUGUCAACUAUAUUUAGUGUAUUGAAUGAUUGUAAGGUGUACAUGUAUUUCUCUUUUGGUUAAUAUGACCUUGACUUCAUUUUCUUGGAUUAUGUUAAGUUUAUGUAAUAGUUGUAGUAAAGCUUUCAUUUAGGACUAUCAGCAUAAUAUCAAUGGUUAGUAAAGAAGGCGAGACAUUUCAGCGUGUGCACUCUUGUU